GUUCCUCCCUUUCUCUUUGACCAGCCGGUUCACAGAGAUGACUGGGAAGGCCUUGGUCAUGUUACUAAUAUUGCGAAAAGCAAAUACGGGGUAUCUGUUGCAGCUGAUGAAAGCUGUCGAGGUUUAGCUGAUGUGAAGAUAAUAGCAGAAAGAAAUCUUGCAGAUGUCAUUAACAUCAAACUUGCCAAAGUAGGAGUACUUGGGGCACUUGAAAUUAUUGAGGUAGCAAGGGCUGCGGGUUUGGAUCUAAUGAUUGGUGGUAUGGUUGAGACUAGGCUGGCCAUGGGCUUUGCAGGUCACCUUGCUGCUGGCCUUGGAUGUUUUAAGUUUGUUGACCUGGAUACACCCCUUUUGCUAUCAGAAGAUCCUGUUCUUGGGGGUUAUGAAGUACUGGGUGCUGUAUACAAAUUUACAAAUACUAGAGGCCAUGCUGGUUUCCUUCACUGGGACAAUAUUAUAUGAGAUUAUUAUUUCCAUUGCU
rnacentral:misc_RNA from 1 species